rnacentral:tRNA from 1 species
AGUGUUAUAGCUCAGUGGUAAAGUGCUUACCUAGCAUGAGUGAGGCACUGAGUUCAAUUCUCAGCAUCACAU